UACGUAGGUGGCAAGCGUUGUCCGGAUUUACUGGGCGUAAAGAGCGCGCAGGCGGUCGUACAAGUCGCGUGUGAAAGCCCCCGGCUCAACUGGGGAGGGUCACGCGAUACUGUUCGACUCGAAGGCAGGAGAGGGAAGUGGAAUUCCCGGUGUAGUGGUGAAAUGCGUAGAUAUCGGGAGGAACACCUGCGGCGAAGGCGGGUUGCUGGGCUGACACUGACGCUGAUGCGCGAAAGCCAGGGGAGCGAACGGG
rnacentral:rRNA from 1 species